rnacentral:misc_RNA from 1 species
UUGAAUAAAUCUGGCGUGGUUGUAGCUGGCCCUCUGGGGCAUGUGCUCGCCCGUCACCUUUAUAUUUCCACCUGUGCACACACUGUAGUCCUGGAUACCUCUCGCCGCAAGGCGGAUGCAGGGAUUGCUGGUCCUCUCGCGAGGUCGGCUCUCUCUGAAUUUCCAGGGUCUAUGAACCUUUACACACCCCAAUUGUAUGUUAUAGAAUGUCAUCAUAAGGCUUCGUGCCUAUAAACCUAUA